AACAGUCCUGAUCUAAUAAAAUGUUUAUUCACGCUUAAUCCAUCCGAAAACUGCCACUUGACAACCAAAAUUCAUUUGUGAACACAAAUUUUUCAAAAGGCGAGGCAAACAAUUUGGCAGCAGCCACCUGAUAACCAAAAUUCAUUUUGUGAACACAAUAUUUUUAAUAGGCGAGGCAAACAAUUUGGCAGCAGCCACCUGACAACCAAAAUUCAUUUUGUGAACACAAACUUUUUAAAAGGUGUGGCAAACAAUUUGGCAGCAGCCACUUGACAACCACAUCGAGGGGACUCACCGUGGAGUAGACGUGCGUUCAGUGUUAUUCGCAGCUCAGAGAGCCGUGACCCUCUCGCUUCCUGGGUCUGGCGGAGACUGAGUGAGGCACUACACUUCCGGUUUUUAUAGUCCCUCCACAAUCCCCCCUGCCGCCAGCGGGGGCAGCAGAGAGAAUGGGGAAUUUUUAAAAAACAUUAAUAUCUCUCUGAUUUUUCAUAGAUGGGAAAAAUCCUCUGGUCCAGGAAGGCGGAGGGGGGCUCUCAGCGAGGUGGCCAAAAAUGUCGGCUGUAGGUGACGGCGUUCUCUCGGAAAUCGCAGCACAGUGGGCCAAAAGCGGUCAAGAUCAGACUUUUAGUAAUAUAGAUAUCACACUGCAAUUACCUGGUGAGCCAAAGAGGCCAUGGAAUGGUCUACCUGCCAUUCACAGUGACAUUUCUGCUUGUGUUGUUCACAUAACAGAUCUUAAAUCUUUUCAACAGUUUUUUUGUUAGAUCGCUGCAGUUUAUUGCGUGGGGCAGCAAUAAUGUGUGUGACGAUGUAUACACAGAACAUUCCUUCCGGUGCCCAGCCAACAUUCUUGUGCAAUGCCAAUAUGAAUUCCAAGUCUUUUUAAACAACUGCUUUCAAGACCCUAUAAAAUUCGAAGUAAUUGUCUCAACAUUGUUAACUUUUGCGAGGAUACUCACUCAUGUACGCAUGCACGCUGUAAAUGAACAGGCACAUGGAACGGAACUCAAUUAAUGCAUGAGAUGAAUAGUUAAAAACACACAUUUCUGGAAUCUAUUAGAUGGUUACAUUCAAAGUUUCGGACUAGAGUCCCUUACAAAUCCGACAUAAACCAAGCAAUUCCUGUGAGCUGCACUAAAUGGUUUUUAAAGAAAAAGUGGGUCUUUUAAGUGGUAUUUCUAUUGAUCUAUGAUGGCUCAAAUUCUUCAGAGGUACAAGUCUAGGGUUUCCUUGGAGAGUUGUAGCGUAUGUUGAGAACUUAUUUAAACAACUUCCUAUUGAGAUUUUUAUGUUAGUACUGAAAUGCAAGUUUAUGUGGUGGUUUGAGGCUGCUUUUACAAAUAGGUGCAUGGGGUAUAAAACAGCCUUCAUUCAUUCAUUGAAUUACUUCAACUGAGUUAUCACAGCACAAAAAAUGAUGGAUGGGUGUCUCUUCUCUUGGCUUGGUAGAUUAAGGAUGGCACUUCAUUGAACCACCUAGAGAUCUAAAGCCAGCAUGGAUGGGAUGUCCUAAUGGCUCCCUGGCUGCCAUGUGCUUGGUGGGGAUAAGGGUGGUCACCUCCUGAUAAGUGAUUGUAUUUCCACAAUCUACAUUGGAUAGUGAGGAGAUGGGAAGAAAUUUUCUCUUCACUUAUCAAGUUUAUGGUCAUCAUUUUCCUCAGAGAGGAAAUUAUUGGGUAAUUGCUCCUGUCAAUAAGUGAUUGAUUAAUCACAUGCAUAAUAUACGCGACUGUACUCCACUUACUGGAUCUUGUUGGAGAAACCAUUCUUUUUUGGGUGCAGUUUCUGCUUCCUCUGCUUUAAAACUAAUAGAUAGUUUUAUUUUUUUAAUAGUUCUAUUUAAAACUAAUAAGUGCUCCCCAACUAACAUUUCAGUCACCUGCCCUGCCUUAUUUCCCACAAGAGGAGAUCAUCUCUAGUAGAGCCAUCUGCAUAUUUGCUGAGAAAAUUGUCCUUAACAUUUAACAAAUUCCAGCCCAUACAAGCCAUUAGCACUAUGGCAGUCUCAGUCAAUAUUUGGAUCUCCCUCUAUUACUAACCAAUUAUUCUUGCCAAAAUAAUACAUGUGAUCACCCUACAUAUUUGCUCCUCUAAUUCUUUUUGACUAUUGGGGGCCUAUUAUACGAUUCCAAAAUAAUCACCCCUCAUUUCUCAUUUAGCCUUGUUGAACGAUCCCCAGAAAUAUACUCUCCAAGUACUGCUGUGUUAUUCUCCCUAUUUACAAACACAAAUUCAUACGCAUUUGUACACUAGAACAUUGAGCUGCCUGGCCUGGUCCUCUAUCAGCCAGGUUUCUGUAAUAGCUAUAACAUCCUAGUCCCGUGUUCUUGUACUUACCUCAGCGAUGGAGUAUUUUCAAAUGUUUUGGAAGGUUUGGAAGGAAUCAACUAAUCCUCUGGGAACUAUGCUAUGUAAAUUGCUCAAAAAAUGUAUUUUUUGAAAUUGAUUCAAGACCUCCUCAUUUGGACAAAUCAUACUUUACAAUCAGAUAAAUGUCAAAAAGAGAAUCAGAUUGCUUUUGGAAGCUUUGGCCUGUGUCUCUGUCCACAAGUCAAUGACAGCACUUGUAAAAACAAUUCCUCGAUGUAUAUGUUCCUCAAAGUUACCUCACAAAGCACUGGAAAGUCUGCGGCUUACAUUAUGAAAUCAUAUCCUGGAUAUGAUUCGAGGAGUGAGUUCUUCAAGAAACACCAUUGCCUAGGUGAAUCGCCAUCAGAGGGCGGGGGAAUUCCACUGAACAGCAACUGGGCUACACAUCACACAUUAGCAGAUGUUGAAAUAAAGAGCUGCAGAUGCUGGUUAAUACACAAAAGGACACAAAGCGCUGGAGUAACAGACGGGCAGCUCUGGAGAACGUGUAUAUGUGACGUUUUGGGUUUAGGCCCUUUUUCAGACAUUGUAGGGGAGGGAGGGGGGAGAAGAAUGCUGGAAAAGGGUAGAGGCAGGACAAAGCAUGGCAGUUAAAAUGUCAACAUUGGCAAGGGGGGGUUUGAUAGGUAGCUGGUUGGAACACAGUCUGAAGAUGGGUCUUGACCCGAAACAUCACCCAUUCCUUCUCUCCAGAGAUACUGUGUGGCCCACUGAGUUACUCCAGCACUUUGUACUUAUCGUUGGUUGGAGCACAGGCCAGACAUAAGAAUGGAAGGUAUGAGGCAGGUGUGAAGAUAUGCGGAUUGUAAAGCUUCCCUGAUGAAGGGUCUCGACCUGAAACGCCACUUAUCCAUGAUCUCCAGAGAUUGCGCCUGACCUGUUGAGUUACUCCAGCACUUUGUGCCCUGACGAGUUAGUAAGUGAAACUCAGCUAACAGCUCCAGCAUGAACACAAGAUGAACAGCCACUCUUCUGUGUCCUGUACUGUUAUUAUUCCAUAAGGCCGGAAAAUAUUUGUCCCUCACUCAACAUUAUUAAAAUAGAUUAUUUGGUCGUUCUCACAUUGUUAUUUGCUGGAGCUUGCUGUGCACAACCUGUAUUUCCUCCAUUACAACUUGGAAAGUAACUUAACUGGAACUUUAGGAUGUUGUAAGGAGACCUGGCUCCCACCAAGAGUAACACAGCAGGAGCUGUGAUCUGCUGCCUCGAACCACGUAUCAGACUUUAGUCUACAAUGUUUGGUUGAAACACAGUGGAAAAACUUGCUUGGAAAAGUUUUGUGUUUUGGUUUAAACAGUGCUUCCAGCAUUAAGUUCCUCACUUUCGUGAGAAAUAAAGACGGCAGCAAAAGGGAUUUUCAGCAAAUAGUUCUGGAGCGACAUCAUCAGUGUGCUUUUCCUUUGCCCUCGGCAAGUGGUGUCAUCCAGUCAUCGUGGAACGAUGUUUUCGUACAUUCUGCUCAGUUUUUCGUUGACUGUUUAUGCAGCUGCCUCUGCUUAGUUUGUGGUCAAUGCCAGCCUAUUGGACACAGACUUGUUUUGCUGUUCUGUGGGAGCAGAACACUUCAGCAAAUGUGACCGGAAAUUCUGCACGCAAAAGAAACACAUUGCCCGACAGACACAUGAUAGCCAAAGAGCGUGCGGGGUCGGGAUAAAUAUGGUACGCGUUUGAUUAGAAGAGCGUUUGUUCUUCGCCUCGGGCCGAGCUGGGAAAGGCGGCGUCCUGAGGUAAACCCCGCCACAGGGUGCGGGCUCGAGCGCUUGGCGGGCUGCACGUGCGGCGCCUGGCGAGCGCCCGCGCCCGCGCCAUGUGGCGGGGUUUACGCCAACUACGCCAACAAAAACGCAAAUUUCGGGAUAAAUUGUGCAGUGAACUGGUAACAUGCCGAUUAAUAUACGGCGAUGCCCCGCUUGGGUUCUGGAGUCCAAAAGACACUCGCACACACACAGCAGAACCAUUCAGAGAGUGCCAAGAGAGUCUUUACUGGAGUUGGAACUCAAUUGGACUGGUGCUUCUUGGAGCUUUCAACAACAACGGCUACAUCUGACUUAGAUCAGGGAAGCGAAGAGGUCCACACACCCCAGUUUGCAUUGGAUGUGUCGAAGUAUAGAUGGUUGAAAACCUCAAGUUCCGAGGAGUCAACAUCACCAACAACUUCUCAUGGACCACCCAUAUUGAAGCAAUGGCCAAGAAAGCACGCCAACGCCUCUACUUCCUUAGAAGGCUUAAGCAAGUUUGGCAUGUCCCCUACAACUCUCACCAACUUCUACAGAUGCACCAUAGAAAGCAUUUUAUCGGGAUGCAUCACAGCACGGUUUGGGAACAACUCCAUCCAAGACCACAAGAAAAUGCAACAAAUUGUGGACACAGCCCAGAGCAUCACACAAACCAUCAGGCAAAAGGUAUAGAAGUGUGAAAACACACAUUUCCAGAUUCAGUGACAGUUUCUUCCCAGCUGUUAACAGGCAACUGAACCAUCCUACCACAACCAGAGAGCAGUGCUGAACUACUAUCUACCUCUUUGGUGACCCUUGGACUAUCCUUGAUUGUACUUUGCUGGCUUUAUCUUGCACUAAACGUUAUUCCCUUAUCAUGUAUCUAUACACUGUAAUAACUCGAUUGUAAUCAUGUAUUGUCUUUCUGCUGACUGGGUAGCACGUAACAAAAGCUUUUUACUGUACCUCGGUGCAUGUGACAAUAAACUAAACUGCCUGACCCUCUGAGUUACUCCAGCACUUUCUGUUCUACUUUUGCCAUGAACCCUGGGUGCCCUCUUGUGGAGCAGGAGAUCAAGGAGGCAGGAAAGGAGAUGAAAAGUAAAAGAUCAGGCACAAUCAUAUUGAAUGGCUGAAUGGGACACCCCAACUUCUAUUGCUUAAGUUCCUAUGGAAAUACUCAGCCGGUCAGACAGCAUCUGCAGAGAGAGAGACACAGGCUUCAAGAUUCAAUUACCUUUCAUAACCUGCGAACCAUUCCAACGUUUCAUUGGUAUUUCUAUUUGAACUGCUGUUCUCUGGAAUUCUUUCUCGGAUUUAUUUUUUCUCUCAUCUCGCCCUUAUUCCUUGGUAUCUGAAGUCUUAACAACUAUUUCCUGAGUUCAAUCUUUCAUAAUCCUGAUCUCUCCAAUUACAUUCCUCAAAAUCUUUUUUAUUCUAAAGAAAGCAUUUCAUAAUUUGAUAUAUUUUUUGAAAGAAACUUUAUCCUUUGCAUCAGAAGCACUUGACCAGGGUGGACAUUAAAAUAUUUUCUCUCCCCUUUAGUAGCUGUUAAAUCAAUGUGCCGUGGAGCAGUUUAAUAUACAAAUCUCAUUUGGUUGGGCCAGAUUGCCAAAAGCAACAUGGUAUGCAUGAACAAGGAGGCUUUUUUAUUGGCCACUUAAAACAAAACUGGAUCUCAGAAUCUUUUAGCUUCAACAGAACAGUUUUACAAGUCAUCGCCUGUACACCUUCAACAUUAGGAACGUUUAAACAAAACAGUAGGGUUACGUGGCCUGGUCCACUCAGUCGCUGGAGGUGGACAAGUCUUGCAAUGUUUAGAGUGUCAUUUCUCGUCACAAUUGCAAACAGCAUGAAAUCAUUUGCAGUCACUUCCGGAAACCUUAUCUGAGGCUCUCUUGCAAUCACCGCAGAGUUUCAAUUUUAUGCGCCCAUUCCACUUAGAUUUACAAAGCACUAACACAGCAGAAACAGGCCAGUCAGUCCGUUCCCCUUACUAGUAUUCCCAGGGAGUGUGGCAAUAUUUACAGGGGGUCCCUGGGGAGUGUGUCAGUAUUUAUAGGGCCAGAGGGCACAGCCUCAGAAUAAACGAACAUACAGUACCUUUAGAAAGGAGAUGAGGAGGAAUUUCUUUAGCCGGAGGGUGGUGAAUCUGUGGAAGUCAUUGGCACAGAAGAGUGGCUGCAAGGCUUCAUCGAAACAUUGAAUGUUUCUGCCUGACCUGCUGAGUCUUUCCAGUAUUUCCUGUUUUUGUUUCAGAUUUCCAGUAUCUGCAGUUUUUAGAUAUUCACUCAUAGUCAUAUUGAACAGCAGGGCAGGUUUGAGAGGCCGUGAGGUUUGCUCCUGACAUGUUUUCUCAUGCUCUGAAAACUAACAGCAGGGCAACGUAGUAAAGAGGACUUUGCAUUUCUAUUGCCCUAAGCCCUUUCUAGCCAACUAGGUACCUCCGAGACAUAGUCAUUGCUGCAAGGUAGAAGAAAUACAAGUCACAUGUACAUAACUUUCCCACAGACAGCAAUGUGAUAACUAGAUGAUGUACUCUUGACUUUUGAAUGAUGGCUAGGACUGUGGGUAGAGGUCUAUGAGAUUGCUCACAUCCUUCCGGGAGAGCAGAAGGUUUAACGUCUGAUGGCACGGAUUUCCUUCAGUAUUGGAGUCAGCCCCCACUGAAGUAGACCAGUUAUGGAGGCCUUGAACUCACAACCCUCUGACUCAGAGGCAGGACAGAACGCUGUGGAGGCCAAGUCAAUGGAUAUUUUUAAGGCAGAGAUGGAUAGAUUAUUGAUCAGUACGGGUGUCAGGGAUUAUGGGGAGAAGGCAGGAGAAUGGGGUUAAGAUGGAUUAGCCAUGAUUGAAUGGCCGAGUAGACUUGAAGAGCCAAAUGGCCUAAUUCUGCUCCUAUCACUUAUGACAGCCACCUAUCAUGGCACGACAGAUUUAUAGACCCUUUGGUUCGGCCUAAGCCAUUGGUAUCAGUGGGAUGGGAAGUCGGGUCGGUGUUAAGCAUGGAUGAAUGGGUCUUCAUGUUGGCAAGCUAGAGGGGCUGGGUGUAGACACGGUAUCGGACAGAAGGGGUACAUCUGGGGCCUUGAGAAGUGGUGGGGAGCAAGAGCCAGGGCAGGCUGUCUUGUGAAAGCUGAUCUCUGGCUGCAGAAGCCUCACCUCCAGCUCUCAGUGUUCAGCGAUAACCUGUCGUCUCCUUGGCAACACUUUGGAAGGUCAGCCCGCCAUUGUCAACUUUGGCUCUGAAACACGUUUAUUUAAAAAAAAACAAAAAAAAAAACAUCCAAGAUCUUAUUUAAAAACAAGUGAAAUAAAUGUUUAAUCCAAGCCAUCACUUACACUGUCACUGUUGGAGAGACAAGGUAACAAUGCUCAACUUAAAGAGAAAACCAUUAACAUCCUUAAUCUUCA